UCUGUCUUUCCUGCUUCCGGUGGUCGGAACUAUCUGAAACUUUCUGGGUUUAGAGAUGAGAAGUCUCCUUUGAUGUGGGAGCUUUCUUCUUGGGUCCGAUGGUAAGUUCAAAAAUCUAUAAAAGGAAAGUUUCGGUUUUUAUGUUAUAUAUUAAUUACAAAAGUUUCUUUUUAAAGGUACGGUUUAUACCUUGAGCAUCUGUUAUCAACUUCAAGAGUCAUGGGGUUCUUCGUUUCUUCAACAUCGAGCACAACUCACAAAGAUGAAUACGAAGACAUGGU
rnacentral:lncRNA from 1 species